rnacentral:rRNA from 1 species
CUUGGAGGCUUUUUUAUGGUUCGUUCUUAUUACCCUUCUGAAUGUCACGCUGAUUAUUUUGACUUUGAGCGUAUCGAGGCUCUUCAACCUGCUAUUGAGGCUUGUGGCAUUUCUACUCUUUCUCAAUCCCCAAUGCUUGGCUUCCAUAAGCAGAUGGAUAACCGCAUCAAGCUCUUGGAAGAGAUUCUGUCUUUUCGUA